rnacentral:rRNA from 1 species
CCGCGUAUUCUCUGAGGAGGAAAGGGUGGGACCUUAGGGCCACCUGCCAUAAGAUGAGCCCAAGUGGGAUUAGGUAGUUGGUGGGGUAAAGGCCUACCAAGCCUGCGAUCUCUAGCUGGUCUGAGAGGAUGACCAGCCACACUGGAACUGAGACACGGUCCAGACUCCUACGGGAGGCAGCAGUGGGGAAUAUUGCGCAAUGGGGGGAACCCUGACGCAGCCAUGCCGCGUGAAUGAAGAAGGCCUUCGGGUUGUAAAGUUCUUUCGGUAAUGAGGAAGGGAUGUUGUUAAAUAGAUAGCAUCAUUGACGUUAAUUACAGAAGAAGCACCGGCUAACUCCGUGCCAGCAGCCGCGGUAAUACGGAGGGUGCGAGCGUUAAUCGGAAUAACUGGGCGUAAAGGGCACGCAGGCGGACUUUUAAGUGAGAUGUGAAAUCCCCGAGCUUAACUUGGGAACUGCAUUUCAGACUGGGAGUCUAGAGUACUUUAGGGAGGGGUAGAAUUCCACGUGUAGCGGUGAAAUGCGUAGAGAUGUGGAGGAAUACCGAAGGCGAAGGCAGCCCCUUGGGAAUGUACUGACGCUCAUGUGCGAAAGCGUGGGGAGCAAACAGGAUUAGAUACCCUGGUAGUCCACGCUGUAAACGCUGUCGAUUUGGGGAUUGGGCUAUAUGCUUGGUGCCCGAAGCUAACGUGAUAAAUCGACCGCCUG